CUGUGCACGGGUCCUCUCUCCCUCACAUUCUGCCUGGAAACAAAACAGUUGAGAGGAGACUCGAUCAGCACCAGCUGUGACUUCCUGUGAUGGGCGGAGAGCAGAGCGGCGAGGAGGAGACCGAGGAGAGAGAAGACGAGGAUGGAAAACAUCACGAGUCCGUCGACGCCUCUGAAGGAGAGCUGCCCCAGUGCAUGAUGGGAAACAGGAAGGUGGACGACAUGUGUUUCAUGAUCUCCUGCACUAACUGGUACUGACCUGGUUCUGGUGCUGCAGCUCCACCUCUGAAGAACAAGGCCCUUGUACAAGCUGUGUCAUGUUAUUCUUUAAAUAAAGUCCUGCAGCGUUAAUGACGAGUUAACGGCUCCAGGUCCGAACACCUGAUGAAACAGA